CUGCGAAUGUUUUUCAAAUGCAAAAUCAAGAUGGCUUUCAGCAGCAAAAUUCUGAUGAGGGAGCUGAAGCUGAGGGAUGUGGGCAGCAUUUACAGAAGCAGGAGUUGUCCAUCCUUCACAGCAAGCCAAGAGUGGAC
rnacentral:lncRNA from 12 species